UAGCAGUGAUGCAGUUAACACAUUAAGUGUGCCGCCUGGGGAGUACGGUCGCAAGAUUAAAACUCAAAGGAAUAGACGGGGACCCGCACAAGCGGUGGAGCAUGUGGUUUAAUUCGACGAUACGCGAAGAACCUUACCUGGACUUGACAUAGUAAGAAGAUUUAAGAGAUUAGAUCGUGUCUGCUUGCAGAAACUUAUAUACAGGUGCUGCACGGCUGUCGUCAGCUCGUGUCGUGAGAUGUUGGGUUAAGUCCCGCAACGAGCGCAACCCUCGUCCUUAGUUGCUAACAGUUCGGCUGAGAACUCUAAGGAGACUGCCUGGGUAACCAGGAGGAAGGUGAGGACGACGUCAAGUCAUCAUGGCCCUUACGUCCAGGGCUACACACGUGCUACAAUGGGGCAUACAAAGAGCCGCGAUACCGUGAGGUGGAGCAAAUCUCAAAAAUGCCUCCCAGUUCGGAUAGCACUCUGCAACUCGAGUGCUUGAAGUUGGAAUCGCUAGUAAUCGUAGAUCAGCAAUGCUACGGUGAAUACGUUCCCGGGUCUUGUACUCACCGCCCGUCACACCAUGGGAAUUGAACUCAUUCGAAGCGGGAAUGCUAAAGUAGCUACCCUCCACAGUGGAUUCAGUAACUGGGGUGAAGUCGUAACAAGGUAGCCG
rnacentral:rRNA from 1 species